rnacentral:rRNA from 1 species
CUAACACAUGCAAGUCGAACGCUGAAGCUUGGGUGUUUACAUCUGGGUGGAUGAGUGGCGAACGGGUGAGUAAUACGUGAGUAACCUGCCCUUGACUCUGGGAUAAGCCUGGGAAACUGGGUCUAAUACUGGAUACUACACAUUCUCGCAUGGGGGUGUGUGGAAAGGGUUUUACUGGUUUUGGAUGGGCUCACGGCCUAUCAGCUUGUUGGUGGGGUAAUGGCCUACCAAGGCGACGACGGGUAGCCGGCCUGAGAGGGUGACCGGCCACACUGGGACUGAGACACGGCCCAGACUCCUACGGGAGGCAGCAGUGGGGAAUAUUGCACAAUGGGCGAAAGCCUGAUGCAGCGACGCCGCGUGAGGGAUGACGGCCUUCGGGUUGUAAACCUCUUUCAGCACGGAAGAAGCGAAAGUGACGGUACGUGCAGAAGAAGCGCCGGCUAACUACGUGCCGGCAGCCGCGGUAAUACGUAGGGCGCAAGCGUUGUCCGGAAUUAUUGGGCGUAAAGAGCUCGUAGGCGGUUUGUCGCGUCUGCUGUGAAAGCCCGGGGCUUAACCCCGUGGUGUGCAGUGGGUACGGGCAGACUAGAGUGCAGUAGGGGAGACUGGAAUUCCUGGUGUAGCGGUGAAAUGCGCAAAUAUCAGGAGGAACACCGAUGGCGAAGGCAGGUCUCUGGGCUGUUACUGACGCUGAGGAGCGAAAGCAUGGGGAGCGAACAGGAUUAGAUACCCUGGUAGUCCAUGCCGUAAACGUUGGGCACUAGGUGUGGGGGACAUUCCACGUUUUUCCGCGCCGUAACUUAACGCAUUAAAGUGCCCCCGCCUGGGGAGUACGGGC